rnacentral:rRNA from 1 species
CGGGACGGGUGAGUAACGCGUGGAUAACCUGCCUCACACUGGGGGAUAACAGUUAGAAAUGGCUGCUAAUACCGCAUAAGCGCACAGUACCGCAUGGUACGGUGUGAAAAACCCAGGUGGUGUGAGAUGGAUCCGCGUCUGAUUAGCCAGUUGGCGGGGUAACGGCCCACCAAAGCGACGAUCAGUAGCCGGCCUGAGAGGGUGACCGGCCACAUUGGGACUGAGACACGGCCCAA